rnacentral:rRNA from 1 species
CACGUAGGAUCCGAGUGUUAUCCGAAUUUACUGGCCGUAAAGAGCGUGCAGUCGGUUUGCUAAGUUGGACGUGAAAUCUCCCGAUUCAACUGGAUGAGGUCGUUCAAGACUGCCAGACUAGAGGGCAGUAUAGGGAGGUGGAAUUCCCGGUGUAGUGUUGAGAAUGCGAACAUAUCGGAAGGAACACCAGUGGUGAAUGGGGCCUCCUGGCCUGUUCCUGAGGCUCAGAGGCGAAAGCUAGGGGAGCGAAUGGAAUUAGAUACCCCGGUAGUCCUAGCCGAACACGAUGUGGACUUGGCGCCGGUGGCUUCAAAACCGCCGGCGCCGUAGCUAAGGCGCUACGUCCAUCGCCUGCGUACUACGGCCGCAAAGUUAAAACUCAAAGGAAUUGGCGGGGGCCCGCACAAGCAGCGGAGCGUGUGGUUUAACUCGAUGCUACACGAAGAACCUUUCCCGGGUUUGACAUGCAGGUAGUAGGGAACUGAAAGGGGACCGAGCCUUCGGGGAGCCUGCACAGGUGCUGCAUGGCUGUCGUCAGCUCGUGUCGUGAGAUGUCCGGUUAAGUCCGGUAACGAGCGCACACCCUGCUGGAUGUUACAAGUGUCAUCCAGGACUGCCGGUUUAGUGUCGGAGGAAGGCGGGGAUGACGUCAAGUCAGCAUGGCCUUUAUAUCCGGGCACUACACACACGCUACAAUGGCCAGUACAAUGGGUCGCAAAGCCGCAAGGAGGAGCCAAUCCCCAAAACUGGUCUCAGGUCAGAUUGCAGGGUGCAACUCUCCUGCAAGAAGUCGGAGUUGCUAGUAACCGCGCGUCAGCUAUAGUGGCGGUGAAUAUCGUUGGCCGGGCGCU